rnacentral:rRNA from 1 species
UACGUAGGGGGCAAGCGUUGUCCGGAUUUACUGGGCGUAAAGAGCGUGUAGGCGGCCAAGCAGGUCCGUUGUGAAAACUGGAGGCUUAACCUCCAGACGUCGACGGAAACCGCGUGGCUAGAGUCCGGAAGAGGAGAGUGGAAUUCCUGGUGUAGCGGUGAAAUGCGUAGAUAUUGGGAGGAACACCAGUGGCGAAGGCGGCUCACUGGACCGGAACUGACGCUGAGGCGCGAAAGCGUGGGGAGCAAACAGG